rnacentral:lncRNA from 1 species
CGGGACUUGGCUCUACACUGCAGAGAAAUUUGGAUUUUCUCCCCACGUCUGUCUCUUAUUUUCCUUGGAACAAAAGCUCCCAAGUUGCCUUCUUGCGACAAAACCCAGGAGUGUGAGAGUGCAUCGCCGGGAUCACAAGUUUUCUGAAAGGGGGAAAAUGUACUUGAGAAACCCCCUGAAGGAGAUUCAUCUGCACCUGGCCCUGAUUUAGAAGAUGAGACCUUGAGAUUUCUAUCAGCCCCCCAAUGAGAUGCAUCUUUGGGAAUCUUUGGAGAGGGUGAGCAUAUUUUGCAUGUGGAAGAAUGUGAAUAUUUUGUGCCUGGAUGGCAG